GAAACCAAAUCUAUCUAUUUAUAAAUCUAGAUAUAGAUCUAGUAACAUGUACUGUCCUUAGUAAACUUAGUGUCCUGCUGUACUCAAAUUUAGAUCUACUGCGUCUUAGUGCAUGUAUUUUAUAGAUCUACUCCACAAAUAAUACUUUGCAAAUCAGUUAAUCACUGUUAAUGUGAUUAAAAUAAAUUGUUUCCAUACAUUAACAUAAUGGCUUUGACCCCAAAGCAAGUUUUGGGUUUUAAAUGUUGGAAAUACAUUGUGCAUAGCACAUCAAGAUCUGAGACUUUCUACACAUUUAA
rnacentral:sRNA from 1 species